rnacentral:tRNA from 4 species
ACGGGAAUAGUUCAAUGGUAGAAUAGAGGUCUCCAAAACCUUUGAUCAGGGUUCGAAUCCUUGUUCCCGUGCUA